rnacentral:lncRNA from 1 species
ACAAGUAAUUCGGAACGGAGGGAGUAUAUCUCUGAAACAAAAUGGGCAUGGCAUGUUACAAACUUACAAUGUCCAUGCACAAAUAAACUAGCCAUAGAGUGGGCACCCUAUGCGUAGGUACAGAGCUGACCCUUAUCAGUAUAAUAGUGCGGAAGUACUAUUCAAGGCCAAUGCUAUGUUAUUUCCAUGUGACUGAUCCAUAAACUUCUUUAAAGACAUGAUUGGUGAAAGAUGUAGAAGGUUUAUGCAUGUCCGUAAAGAGAGAUCUGAAUGACUGGAAUAUCAGCAAAGAACUAGCCAUGGAUUGGGGUGCGUGGAAGUUAGCUAUCCACGUGCCAGAACCAUGACUUGGUUUCAAGAUCUUAUGGGUUUUAACUCUAGCCUACCCCAACUUAUCUCGGACUGAAAUGCUUUAUUGUUAUGCAUCCUGCAUGGCAUAUUCUUUUAGGUACGGAAAGAGAGUGUUGUUUUGGAGUUGUGCAGAAAUUAGUGCUUUUUUGGAAAUACAAUUUUGUCUAUGAACUAAGACUCCAUGUUGCAACAUGCAGGUAAUAUCCUUAUAUCUGCGAUCAAAUUUAAAAGAUGCAGGAGAGAAUAUAUUGGGUGAAAGAUCUGGUAUGCUUCUGCCUUCUUGUAACUCUCCAUAAUAGUGAUAGCAACAAAUAAAUCAAUGUCAUAAUCUUUGUUGCUCAAUCAAAUUGUUACCUUGAUAAUAGAUAAGUCCCUAGCAUUCUCCUAUUAUAAUAAAACGUAAGCUCAGUUUGCGGUUGCUAAACUGUGCUGUUCUGUGCUUAUUUUGUAAUCUGUUUUUGAAGUUAGCCACAAAAGUACGCAAAAGCGGAUCAAAUAAACACUAAAAUAUGAAAAAGCUGGUUGGACAAAUGGGAUCAUCCUUAUCCACUGCAAUACCAAAUGCAACCAUAAUAUGUUAUUUUCGUGGUAGUUUUCAUCAUUCAAAGUCAGACAUCUCACUAGCAUCUUUCACAUCCAUGCAAUCAUCCUCUGCCAGACUAAAUCUUGUGCUUUGUUCCUUUCAGAAAUCGAUUAUGUAAGUGUAUUGAAUAGAAAUCUUCCAAGAGAUAUACGUGUAAUAGGUUGGUGUCCUGUUGCAGCAGACUUUCUUGCAAGGUUAGCUUGAAUUCUAUGUUUAGUACUUUUUUGGUUGCUGAGUGUAAGAGGCGUUCUUACGCAAAUGGCUUCGACAAAAGAUUAGAUGUUUCUUCCUUGCUUCUUCCCUCUUUUCUUAUCUCCCUUUUUGAUCAUGCUAUUUAUUACCUAGUUGUACCCUGUUCCUGAGUAAUUGGAAUUUGAUUUCUUGGCCCACUUUUUUUUUGCAGAUUCUCCUGCUUGGGUAGGGAAUAUAAAUACCUGUUUUGGAAGCGGGGCUUGGAUGUAUCGGUAACUAUGUUAGCCUUGAUUUCUGUACUUUGCUACAUUUGCCAUUUUUACCGAGCCAUUGACUUUAAAUUGUCAACAGAAAAUGCAGAAAGCUGCAUUUAAAUUCAUUGGGGAACAUGACUUCAGGAAUUUCUGUAAGAUGGAUGCAGCAAAUGUGAGCAACUACAAGCGAUACAUUACAGAUUUUAAUAUUUCUGCUUGUGACCAAAGGUUAAAUUGCAUUUCCCUUCUUUCUAGUUACAAACAUGUGAUUCAUGUAAUACCUGAACUAAAUAAUGGAAGUGCUCUGUAUUUCAAGGUCCAACCAUGAUGAGCUGUGGUCCAUGAAUAUCAGGGGUAGCGCCUUUCUGUGGCAUCAAGUUCGUUGCAUGGCAGCUGUUCUGUUUUUUGUAGGUCAAGGCCUUGAAUCACCUUGUGUGAGUAUUUUUUCCCUCUUUCUGAAGCUUCCUUUUAUUUUUUCGAACAGUGAAGUGAAUUACACAAUUGAACUUGGCGCAGAAGUUCCUUUGUCUCAUUUGUUUGGAUUAUUUACAUUCAGUAGCUUGUUUAUUUUGGUACAGGUAGUUGACUCAUUGCUGGAUAUUACCAAGACUCCUAGAAAACCUCAAUAUACAAUGGCACCAGAGCUUCCAUUGAUUCUACGAUCUUGUCUAUUCGAUGGAGUCAGCUUCAUGUGUUCAUCAGGUAUGUCUCUGAAAAUUUGGCGUUUGACUCUAUACCCUUCCAGGGAGUAUUUUCAGCCUUGAAAUAUAGUUGUACUAUUGAUCUGCUAACAUCAUGUCUUCAUUCCUUGCUCGGUGAACUCUGUGAUUUUCCUGCUGCUUCCAGUAUAUGGAUUAUAUUGUAAAAAAUAGUGAGAUUUUAGAUCACAGUGAGCAUUAUAUCAUCCUUUUAUGAUUAAUUAUGCAUGCAUUCUUGAGAAUUAAAUAAGAUUUAACAGCAGUGGGAUAGCAUUGCCUGACAGUAAAUGAAAUAUACUCGUCUCAUAUAACUUAUGACCAUGACAUGAUAUUUUCACAAAAAUGGAACCUUCAUUUCGGAAAUACUUGGUGUCAGUUCUGUUAUAUUGAGUAAAGUGAAGACCGUCUAGGGAUUUUAUUAUCUAUCUGCAAUAAUUCUAUUUUUUGUGUGACAUAACUAAUUCCAGUGCGCUUUAUUCCUGUUUAGAUGCCAAUCAGGCUUUGAUUGAACACUUGAAGGAUGAACACCAUCAGUAUAUGCUCCAAGCUGCCAUAUUUGAUGAGGCUUUGACCUGUUUAUCUAUUCCAGGUACAUACAUUUAGAUCUUUGUGUAACUUUACUGUAAUAUUUUUGUGAUCUGAAAGGAGUUAGAUGUAAAUGCAGAGCCUAAUCCACUUGAAUACCCUAAGAAGAAGAGAAAACACAUCCCUCUCCUGUCACGGGAAGCUGAACGUAAGUUUUUUAUCGUGUGAAUUUGCAAAACAUCUUUCGUCUUUACAUCUUUUAUAAGCGGAACAAUGCUGUCUUAACACCAGUCUCUGUCAGGAGUCAACACUCUUUAACUUUCUAACACUUUGCUAUAACAGCUCCAAUGAUGUAUGCAUAAUUAUCCUCUUCAGCGUCAACGCUUGAUAACCUCUUUAUUUCGACGCAUUUGAUUCAACCCUCUUGUUUGUACUUUGCAUGUGAAAAUGCAUUUGCUAAUACUUUCACGUUCCAGCUUCUUACGAGGAACGCAGAGCAAGAGUAAAAGCUAAGUCAGCAAAUGUGUAGUUGAGUGGCUACCUUAAGUAGCACACUAAGAGUUUGGCCUUCGAAGAUCGGCGCGGCUGACUGGCUGAGUGUUAUAAUCAAUCCAGCAUCAAGGUAAUUUUGCCUUCCUGUUCCAGUCAAUUCGAGAAAUACGCAAACAAAUGCCUGCCUGCAUGCUCACGUAAUUCACUUAAAUCCUUGUUCAGGGGCAAUCUCCUCAUCAGAACGUCUCUCCUUGAAGCUUGUGUUCUUACUGUGUGCACUUCUGGGACGGGCUAAAGUGUUACGUGGCGAUGGGGAAUCGACAAAAGAAGUUCAUCGUUCAGAUCUCCUUCAAGUUUUGUAGGUUCUUCACCACCCUUCACCAUCUACCAGCCUUCUGACAGAACUUGAUAUGGAUCAUACAUAGUACAUACUAUAAUUUCUCAGGCGGCAAUGCUUGGUCCCUUGGCAUUGCUUUUGUACCAGCGGUUGGCUGCAAGAUGGCGACCUUUUAUUUUGCACUAUGCAGCGCCAAUUGUGUCAUGUGAUGGCUGGCUCGUGCUCUUCCUUUUUUUUUAGGCCUGAAACAUGUAAUGAUUUCCUCCAAAAGAUUCAUAAAUUCUGAAAUGCUGGGAUCGUCUGGCUGUAACAAUCAAAUCGAAUCUAGAACAGCAAUGCACAUGGUAAGAGAGUAGUAGUGCACCGUAUCGAGCAG